rnacentral:hammerhead_ribozyme from 1 species
ACUUAGCUGACGAAUCCCGAACAGGAUGAAACCCACGUCCUGGAU